rnacentral:rRNA from 1 species
GAUGAACGCUGGCGGCGUGCCUAACACAUGCAAGUCGAGCGAACGGACGAGAAGCUUGCUUCUCUGAUGUUAGCGGCGGACGGGUGAGUAACACGUGUAUAACCUACCUAUAAGACUGGGAUAACUUCGGGAAACCGUAGCUAAUACCGGAUAAUAUUUUGAACCGCAGGGUUCAAAAGUGAAAUACGGUCUUGCUGUCACUUAUAGAUGGAUCUCGGCUGCAUUGGCUAGUUGGUAAGUUAACGGCUUACCAAGGCAACGAUGCAUAGCCGACGUGAGAGGGGGAUAGGCCACAUGGGAGCGGGACCGCGGACCGGCCUCCUACGGGAGGCACCAGUAGGGAACCUUCGGCAAUGGGCGAAAGCCUGACGGAGCGAGGCCGCGUGAGUGAUGAAGGUCUCCGGUUCGUAAAACCCUGUUAUUGGGUAAAAACAUAUUUGUAAGUAACUGUAGACAGAUUGACGGUACCGGAUAAGAAAGCCACGGCUAACUACGUG